rnacentral:rRNA from 1 species
UACGGGGGGAGCAAGCGUUGUUCGGAUUUACUGGGCGUAAAGGGCGCGUAGGCGGCGCAACAAGUCACUUGUGAAAUCUCCGGGCUUAACCCGGAGCGGCCAAGUGAUACUGUCGUGCUAGAGUGCGGAAGGGGCUACUGGAAUUCUCGGUGUAGCGGUGAAAUGCGUAGAUAUCGAGAGGAACACCUGCGGCGAAGGCGGGGUAGCUGGGCCGACACUGACGCUGAGGCACGAAAGCCAGGGGAGCGAACAGG